AUUGAACGCUGGCGGCAUGCCUUACACAUGCAAGUCGAACGGCAGCACGGGGGCAACCCUGGUGGCGAGUGGCGAACGGGUGAGUAAUGCAUCGGAACGUGCCCAGUAGUGGGGGAUAACUAGUCGAAAGAUUAGCUAAUACCGCAUACGACCUACGGGUGAAAGCGGGGGACCUUUACCGGCCUCGCGCUAUCGGAGCGGCCGAUGUCUGAUUAGCUAGUUGGCGGGGUAAAAGCCCACCAAGGCGACGAUCAGUAGCUGGUCUGAGAGGACGACCAGCCACACUGGGACUGAGACACGGCCCAGACUCCUACGGGAGGCAGCAGUGGGGAAUUUUGGACAAUGGGCGCAAGCCUGAUCCAGCCAUGCCGCGUGCGGGAAGAAGGCCUUCGGGUUGUAAACCGCUUUUGGCAGGAACGAAACGGCGCGAGCGAAUAUCUCGCGUUAAUGACGGUACCUGCAGAAUAAGCACCGGCUAACUACGUGCCAGCAGCCGCGGUAAUACGUAGGGUGCAAGCGUUAAUCGGAAUUACUGGGCGUAAAGCGUACGCAGGCGGCUUUGCAAGA
rnacentral:rRNA from 1 species